AAAAACCCUAGGUGGAAAAAUUCAAGGGAAAAGUGUGAAAAUUCAAGGAAACAAGUGAAAAAAGGUAAGAUUUUUCAAUUCUAGCUUGUGAUCUACCUUUCCCAUACAUUCUUUAGCAUUUUCUAUGGUUGAAUCACAUGGUUUCAUGAUAGGUCUCUUACUGGCCGGACAUGGGGGGAGGAGUUUUGAUGCUUGAUUUGGUUAGAUUUU
rnacentral:lncRNA from 1 species